GAGCGCGUAGCUCAGCUGGGAGAGCGCCGGCCCGACACGCCGGAGGUCCCAGGUUCGAGUCCUGGCGCGCUCACCU
rnacentral:tRNA from 2 species